rnacentral:rRNA from 1 species
GACGAACGCUGGCGGCGUGCUUAACACAUGCAAGUCGAACGCUGAAGCACCAGCUUGCUGGUGUGGAUGAGUGGCGAACGGGUGAGUAAUACGUGAGUAACCUGCCCUUGACUCUGGGAUAAGCCCGGGAAACUGGGUCUAAUACUGGAUGCUACAUGUCACCGCAUGGUGGUGUGUGGAAAGGGUUUACUGGUCUUGGAUGGACUCACGGCCUAUCAGCUUGUUGGUGAGGUAAUGGCUCACCAAGGCGACGACGGGUAGCCGGCCUGAGAGGGUGACCGGCCACACUGGGACUGAGACACGGCCCAGACUCCUACGGGAGGCAGCAGUGGGGAAUAUUGCACAAUGGGCGAAAGCCUGAUGCAGCGACGCCGCGUGAGGGAUGACGGCCUUCGGGUUGUAAACCUCUUUCAGCAGGGAAGAAGCCACAAGUGACGGUACCUGCAGAAGAAGCGCCGGCUAACUACGUG